UCCAACACCACAGAGCAAUUAACAUUUUCAUAUUCAAAUAGCUUCUUAUUUUUUCUCAAAAGGUCUAGGUGCCUCACACACAGAUGAAUUAUAUAAUACAAAAGAAUACUAAUGACUUUAAUCAAACAGAAGGAAAUGGAACAAGCAAAGAAACAAAUUCAAAAUAAAAAAACAAGUUUGGAGGUGGUAAAACAGCCUUUGAUAAACAUAUGGAUUUGGUUUCACAUGGACAGACUAAAAAUACAGUGACUCAUAAACACGCAACUACGUAUUAUGGAAUUUUUGAAUUGACCUUUUUGCCUUAGGUAUCUUACCCUCUGGUGAGUCGAGGAUUAGCUAGGCUACGAUUAGUAAACCUAAGAUAAUUACUGAGAUUUUUGCUUUACACUAUAAAAACUACAUACCAUCUCAUAGGACUUGGACAACUAUGGUCUACUACUGAACAUAGCUCCUUUUCAAAAAUAUUUUUUUCUAGAUAAUUGCCCAAGAAACAUACUGGAGAGGACGUAUACACUGGAAAUGAUACACCAUCCUGUCCUGAACUGAAAGUUGCAGAUUCCAAAUGUUCCUGUGUAUCACUGAGAUAAACUACGUUCCUCAUUAUCUUCAAAUUAGGGAGCAAGAGUAGAAAAAUACCUGGUGGCAACCUAACAGACACAUCUCAUGACUUCAUACCAUGAAUUGCAGCCUGAGUUCUGAACCUGGAGAGAUCCCUAAUAGGUCUCCUCUCUUAAUACUCACUGACAGGUCAUCUCCCCCACUUAAAAAUCUUCAAAGCACCCCAACACCCACCGACCCUCACCAUCUCCAACCCAUUGCCUUGAGAUAAAAAUCCAAGCUUCUAAAAGAGAGCUUUCAAGAUUUAACAAAAUCAGGUCUGUGCCUCCCACUUUCCAGUCCAGCUGAAGUAAACCUCCUGCUCCUAAGUUCCUCAAGCACAUCAUGUUAUUUUUCACAGCUGUGUCUUUGCUCAUUUUGUUCCCAGUAUCUGGAAUGGCUUUUACCUGGAUAAAUCCUAUCAAUUCUUUAAUAUGAAGCAGAACAUUUGGAUAAGUGUUAAAAAAAAAAAAAAAGGUUUCUUUAUCACCAACUCAGGUGUUUAAUGACAUUUCAUAUAAUAGUUUAGUGAAGAGUGUAUGUGAUUCCAGAAUCGGUGCUAUUAACGAAUCCAGGCUAUGGCCUUAUCUACCGCCACCAUUUUUUACUUGACUUCUUAAACCAGAGUUUCUGUUGCCCCUCCAAAUAAACUAUCCAUUCUCCACAUUUCUCCUUGUCCUGGGAGGCUGACCUGAAUUGAUGUGGGUGGGUUUCUGUGCCCUCCGCUUCUGUGUCUAGCCGAUGGGGAACCCAGCAGGAGUUUGGAGGGAGCCAUCCAGGGUCAUCACCCCCUUCUCCUGGGCGGCCUAGGCCCUGGGGAGUAAGCAGCUGACUCUAACACUCCCUCCUGGGUUCUGCUGACUUCUCCCCGAGUCAGGUGGCGACAGCUCUGCUGCUGCUAGCCUGGAUUCCUGUACUAUCCCAUCCCUCUUCCUGUAAUUUGUCUCUUUAUAGAUAAGCCUUCCAUGAAUUAUCAUAAUUUGAACUAUCUCUUUCCAAGUGAGACUCUGACUGAUACAUUAGCUGGUUCCAUUUCUGCAUGAGCAGGUGGCUCAGGAUCCCGCAGUACCUGAUCUACUUCAUCACUGCCUCUCCCUCAACCACACACCUGCAGACCCCUCAGGCUUCCCUGUUAGUAGUUGGAAGAAACUAAGUUUUGUCUAACUAACGCUAACUAACACUGUGGGCUUGGCCCACUGCUGGGUCUGCACAGCGUCCCGCACCAGCCAAAAGCGGACUGCCCUGUCACUGCAGCCUCUCUCAGGGCCAGGCCCGAAAGACAGCAGUGAAAGCAGAUCCUACCAGUGGGUGGAACUUGGAGAGGAACACCUACAUGGACCACGGGCAGCAGCAACUGGGCUGGCUGGUCAGAGACUUGGAAAGAACAAAACUGGAUAACUGACGAAGAAGAGGGAAACGUGGAUGGUCCUUUUUGAAUGGGCUUAUGGCAUGAAGACAUUCUGUCCAUGCAGAUGUGCACCUGAAGGCACCCACGUGAAGACAGCUCUCAGUAAUCAGUGUGACCUGAUGGCUG